rnacentral:sRNA from 12 species
UCCCGCCCGUUGCGUGAGCGUCACGGCGCUCGCGCCUGAGCGGUCUUUUCAUCUGGUCGUGCCGCUGGGCCGGUAGGCCCACCGCCACGCGCUCCCCAGGAAACUACCCGGCCACGUUCGGGCAAGUCCUUGCGCAGUCUAUCCGCCGUUAGCCGGGUGCUUCGACGGAGCGAUGUAGAUAGCACGAUAGUUAU